rnacentral:rRNA from 1 species
GACGAACGCUGGCGGCGUGCUUAACACAUGCAAGUCGAACGGAAAGGCCCUGCUUGCAGGGUACUCGAGUGGCGAACGGGUGAGUAACACGUGGGUGAUCUGCCCUGCACUUCGGGAUAAGCUUGGGAAACUGGGUCUAAUACCGGAUAGGAGCCAUCUUUAGUGUGGUGGUUGGAAAGUUUUUUCGGUGUAGGAUGAGCUCGCGGCCUAUCAGCGUGUUGGUGGGGUAAUGGCCUACCAAGGCGGCGACGGGUAGCCGGCCUGAGAGGGUGUACGGCCACAUUGGGACUGAGAUACGGCCCAGACUCCUACGGGAGGCAGCAGUGGGGAAUAUUGCACAAUGGGCGCAAGCCUGAGGCAGCGACGCCGCGUGGGGGAUGAAGGCCUUCGGGUUGUAAACUCCUUUCGCUAGGGACGAAGCUUUUUUGUGACGGUACCUAGAGAAGAAGCACCGGCUAACUACGUG